rnacentral:rRNA from 1 species
GACGAACGCUGGCGGCGUGCCUAAUACAUGCAAGUGGAACGCAUUGGUAACACCGGACUUGCUCCAGUGUUACUAAUGAGUCGCGAACGGGUGAGUAACGCGUAGGUAACCUGCCUGAUAGCGGGGGAUAACUAUUGGAAACGAUAGCUAAUACCGCAUAAGAGGAGUUAACUCAUGUUAACUGUUUAAAAGAAGCAACGGCUUCACUAUCAGAUGGACCUGCGUUGUAUUAGCUAGUAGGUAGGGUAACGGCCUACCUAGGCAACGAUACAUAGCCGACCUGAGAGGGUGAACGGCCACACUGGGACUGAGACACGGCCCAGACUCCUACGGGAGGCAGCAGUAGGGAAUCUUCGGCAAUGGGCGCAAGUCUGACCGAGCAACGCCGCGUGAGUGAAGACGGUUUUCGGAUCGUAAAGCUCUGUUGUAGGGGAAGAACGUGUGUAAGAGUGGAAAGCUUACACAGUGACG